rnacentral:rRNA from 1 species
GACGAACCAUGCAAACGUUAUUCGGAUUCACUGGGCUUAAAGCGUGCGUAGGCGGUCUUGUUAGUCAGGUGUGAAAGCCCUCAGCUCAACUGAGGAAUUGCGCUUGAUACUGCAUGACUAGAGAAUGAUAGAGGUGGGUGGAACUGAUGGUGGAGCGGUGAAAUGCGUUGAUAUCAGCAGGAACACCAGUGGCGAAGGCGACCCACUGGGUCAUUUCUGACGCUGAGGUACGAAAGCUAGGGUAGCGAACGGG